rnacentral:tRNA from 1 species
GCCCCUGUAGUGUAGUGGUUAAUCAUCUGGGACUGUCACUCCCAGAACCCGGGUUCAAAUUUCAUCUAGGUAUCUGGAUGAGUGAAAAUCCCGGCGGGGGCGCCA